rnacentral:rRNA from 1 species
GAUGAACGCUGGCGGCGUGCCUAAUACAUGCAAGUCGAGCGAACAGACGAGGAGCUUGCUCCUCUGACGUUAGCGGCGGACGGGUGAGUAACACGUGGAUAACCUACCUAUAAGACUGGGAUAACUUCGGGAAACCGGAGCUAAUACCGGAUAAUAUAUUGAACCGCAUGGUUCAAUAGUGAAAGACGGUUUUGCUGUCACUUAUAGAUGGAUCCGCGCCGCAUUAGCUAGUUGGUAAGGUAACGGCUUACCAAGGCAACGAUGCGUAGCCGACCUGAGAGGGUGAUCGGCCACACUGGAAGUGAGACACGGUACAGACUCCUACGGGAGGCAGCAGUAGGGAAUCUUCCGCAAUGGGCGAAAGCUUGACGGAGCAACGCCGCGUGAGUGAUGAAGGUCUUCGGAUCGUAAAACUCUGUUAUUAGGGAAGAACAAAUGUGUAAGUAACUAUGCACGUCUUGACGGUACCUAAUCAGAAAGCCACGGCUAACUACGUG